rnacentral:rRNA from 1 species
GGAUUAGAUACCCUGGUAGUCCACGCUGUAAACGAUGAUCACUCGCUGUUGGCGAUACACAGUCAGCGGCCAAGCGAAAGUGAUAAGUGAUCCACCUGGGGAGUACGGUCGCAAGAUUGAAACUCAAAGGAAUUGACGGGGGCCCGCACAAGCGGUGGAGCAUGUGGUUUAAUUCGAUGAUACGCGAGGAACCUUACCAGGGCUCAAAUGUAUGAUGACGUUGGGUGAAAGCUCAAUUUCUUCGGACAUUAUACAAGGUGCUGCAUGGUUGUCGUCAGCUCGUGCUG